GAUGAAGAACGUAGCAAAAUGCGAUAAGUAAUGUGAAUUGCAGAAUUCAGUGAAUCAUCGAAUCUUUGAACGCACAUUGCGCCCGCUGGUAUUCCGGCGGGCAUGCCUGUUCGAGCGUCAUUUCAACCCUCGAACCCCUCCGGGGGGUCGGCGUUGGGGAUCGGCCCUGCCUUUGGCGGUGGCCGUCUCCGAAAUACAGUGGCGGUCUCGCCGCAGCCUCUCCUGCGCAGUAGUUUGCACACUCGCAUCGGGAGCGCGGCGCGUCCACAGCCGUUAAACACCCAACUUCUGAAAUGUUGACCUCGGAUCAGGUAGGAAUACCCGCUGAACUUAAGCAUAUCAAUAAGCGGAGGA
rnacentral:misc_RNA from 1 species